AAGGGUUGAGAAGACCAAAUUGUAACUUGGUAUUGCCCAGGGCUAGCUGAGUUCUGGAGUUGGUGGUCCAAAGGCUUCCCAAGAGGAAAUGUACUAUCUGAGGAUGGGACUUGGGGCCAUUUCAGGAUGCACAGUGUCCACUGAAGAAGAAAUUGCAAAUUCAUAGCCUGCUUCUAUGUUUUGAGGACACAGGAGAGAAGCAUCAUAGCAAGAUGGACAACAGAGGGUGCCCUCCACUUUGUGCAUAAGAUGCAUUGACUAAUCAUUUCCUGAAUCAUUACUAAGUGAUGCUUCAUAAAAUUCUUGGCAACUGAGUCUUUUAAACUGCAACAGAUGU